rnacentral:tRNA from 1 species
UGAGUGUAGCCAAGCGGUAAGGCAUCGGACUCCAAAACCGCCAUACGAAGGUUCGAUUCCUUCCACUCAUG